rnacentral:rRNA from 1 species
GAUGAACGCUGGCGGCGUGCUUAACACAUGCAAGUCGAACGGAAAGGCCCAAGCUUGCUUGGGUACUCGAGUGGCGAACGGGUGAGUAACACGUGGGUGAUCUGCCCUGCACUUCGGGAUAAGCCUGGGAAACUGGGUCUAAUACCGGAUAGGACCACUUCUUGGAUGUUGUGGUGGAAAGUUUUUUCGGUGUGGGGUGAGCUCGCGGCCUAUCAGCUUGUUGGUGGGGUAAUGGCCUACCAAGGCGUCGGCGGGUAGCCGGCCUGGGGGGGGGUACGGCCAAAUUGGGAAUGAGGUACGGCCCAGGCUCCUACGGGGGGCAGCAGGGGGGAAGUUUGCAAAAUGGGCGCGAGCCUGAUGCAGCGAAGCCGGGUGGGGGAUGACGGCCUUCGGGUUGGAAACUCCUUUCGCUAGGGACGAAGCGUUUUGUGACGGUACCUGGAGAAGAAGCACCGGCUAACUACGUG